rnacentral:misc_RNA from 1 species
GUGGAAUGCUAGAGCAAUGCCGGUCUCUAAAGAAUUUGUCGGUCAGCUGGUGUGACAACUUAGUUUCCUUCCCUUUACAUGAGUGCGAAAUGCCUUCACUUUCAUGGUUGGAUAUAUCACAAUGUCCCAAAUUGAUUAGUGUAUCAACAGGGUGCCUGCACCGUCUCACUGGGUUAAUUGUAUUGGGAAUUGGUCCUUUCUCAGAGAAGGUGGAUUUUGAGGUAUUCCAAUUGAUUUUUAGUGGUGUUCAACAGCUGUUUUCUCUUCGUUCUUUGUGGGUGUACGGACAUUUGCACUGGGAUUCUCUGCCCUAUCAGAUUAUGCAACUCUCUGCCCUAAAAAAUCUCUCUAUAGAUGAUUUCGGAAUCGAGGCUCUUCCUCAUAGAUUUGACAACCUUACAUCUCUUGAAACAUUAUCGCUAAAGAGGUGCAAACGGCUAAGACAUGUGGACUUCUCAGAUGCCAUAACCAAAUUACGGAAUCUGUGGAUACAGGAUUGUCCAUUAUUAGAAGCUCUGUCGGAUGGGCUCGGCAACCUUGCUUCUUUGGAACAGUUACUUAUUUUGAAUUGCAAAAAACUAGAGCAUCUGCCAUCCAGAGAUGCCAUGCGACGCCUCACCAAAUUAAGGAUCCUGCAUAUUGUUGGCUGCCCACAGUUAGGAGAAAGCUGCACCAAACAGAGUGGUCCUAACUCCCAGUGGUCCAAAAUUUCCCAUAUUCCAGAUAUUGAAGUGCGUUCAUGAAGAUAACGGAAGCAAUGGCUCGACUUAUUGGUGAAACGCUAGAGAGAUGAGCCGGUGAGUGUGGUUGCAUCUUGCACGAAGCUUGAAAGUUCAAGGAUAAUUUCUCCGUUGAUAUUAACUUUCGCGAUUGAAGUUCUUCAACAAAGAUAGCUGUCAUGAAUCAUAUAGUAUCAAUGAGCCGCUCAUUGGCUCUUACAAUGUCCUCAGCAGUAUCUGUUCAUCUUGAUAGAUUCAUGUUUGAAACACCAGCAUUGACCUUGUCGAAAUGCUACUUCUGUUAGAUGUGUUUCUGUUUCAUCGUUGGCAAGGGGAAACUGCAUUCCAUAAACUUAUUUCCCUUAAAGUACCCUAAAAGGGCCAUGUCGUCAUGAGUGAUUAAGUUUGUUGCACAUGUAUUAUGAUAAACAGUUGAGCUUUUCGCGUCUAUUGAAGUGAGAGUCCAAUGGUAACGCCCAGCCCACAGCUCCUGAAAUCAGUUGACGUAAUUCUAAACUGAAUUAAACUAGCAGUGGUGAAUACCAUAGUUGUAUCAUGUAUGGUGUAAAGUUUCUU